GAACUACUCCCUCUGUCCCAAAUUUCUUGUCUUAGAUUUGUCUAGAUACGGAUGUAUCUGUGACUUGAUACAUCUGUAUCUAGACAAAUCUAAGACAAGAAUUUUGGGACGGAGGGAGUACUUU
rnacentral:pre_miRNA from 1 species